UCAGGAAUCUGUGCAGACACCCCAGUGCC
rnacentral:piRNA from 1 species